rnacentral:rRNA from 1 species
CCUACGGGCGGCAGCAGUCGAGAAUCUUCGGCAAUGGGCGCAAGCCUGACCGAGCGACGCCGCGUGCGGGAUGAAGGCCUUCGGGUUGUAAACCGCUGUCAGAGGGGAUGAAAUGCAGGUGGGUUCUCCCAUCUGUUUGACAUAGCCUCAGAGGAAGGACGGGCUAAGUUCGUGCCAGCAGCCGCGGUAAGACGAACCGUCCAAACGUUAUUCGGAAUCACUGGGCUUAAAGGGUGCGUAGGCGGCGCGGAAAGUUGGGUGUGAAAUCCCUCGGCUCAACCGAGGAACUGCGCCCAAAACUACCGUGCUCGAGGGAGAUAGAGGUGAGCGGAACUUAGGGUGGAGCGGUGAAAUGCGUUGAUAUCCUAAGGAACACCGGUGGCGAAAGCGGCUCACUGGAUCUCUUCUGACGCUGAGGCACGAAAGCUAGGGUAGCAAACGGGAUUAGAUACCCCUGUAGUCA